GCCCUAUAAUUGUUGGAGGCUGUUGUGCAGGUACAUCUCUCCAGCGGAUACAAUGGGCAAGAUCAAUCAUGUGAUUUAUGCACAGGAGCUGUUUCUCCUCAACAGCCAUUGAUAUGCAAUGUACUCUAACAUUU
ensembl:snoRNA